AUUGAACGCUGGCGGCAUGCCUUACACAUGCAAGUCGAACGGUAACGCGGGGCAACCUGGCGACGAGUGGCGAACGGGUGAGUAACGCAUCGGAACGUGCCCAGUAGUGGGGGAUAGCCCGGCGAAAGCCGGAUUAAUACCGCAUGCGACCUACGGGUGAAGGCGGGGGACCGCAAGGCCUCGCGCUUCUGGAGCGGCCGAUGUCAGAUUAGGUUGUUGGUAGGGUAAAGGCCUACCAAGCCUGCGAUCUGUAGCUGGUCUGAGAGGACGACCAGCCACACUGGGACUGAGACACGGCCCAGACUCCUACGGGAGGCAGCAGUGGGGAAUUUUGGACAAUGGGCGCAAGCCUGAUCCAGCCAUGCCGCGUGCGGGAAGAAGGCCUUCGGGUUGUAAACCGCUUUUGUCAGGGAAGAAAUAGCUCGGGCUAAUACCCCGAGUUGAUGACGGUACCUGAAGAAUAAGCACCGGCUAACUACGUG
rnacentral:rRNA from 1 species